GUCUUUUUGAGUUAUUUUUAAAGUCUGACCUGCCCACUGAAUAUUUUUAAAUGGCCGCAGUAUCCUAACUGUGCAAAGGUAGCAUAAUCAUUAGUCUUUUAAUUGAAGGCUGGUAUGAACGGUUGGACGAAGUAUAAGCUGUUUCAUAUAAAAUUAUAUUAGAACUUUAUAUUUUAGUUAAAAAGCUAAAAUUUUAUUAAAAGACGAGAAGACCCUAUAAAUCUUUAUAUUUAAUAUUAAUCAAAUUUUUUUGAUUUAUUUUAUUUUUUUAAUUUUAAAUAUUUUGUUGGGGUGAUAUUAAAAUUUAAUGAACUUUUAAUUAUUUAUUAAAUCAUUAAUUUAUGAAUAAUUGAUCCAUUAAUAAUGAUUAUAAGAUUAAGUUACUUUAGGGAUAACAGCGUAAUUUUUUUUGAGAGUUCAUAUCGACAAAAAAGUUUGCGACCUCGAUGUUGGAUUAAGAUAUAUUUUUAGGUGCAGCCGCUUAAAUAUUAAGUCUGUUCGACUUUUAAUUUCUUACAU
rnacentral:rRNA from 1 species